rnacentral:lncRNA from 1 species
UUGUUUAGUGGAUUGCUGUUCCUCUGUCUGUUCAGGUUGCUCUUCCUCCUCAUCACUGACAGCACAAAUCAAACUCAUUCCUCUUCUUCUCAAGGUAUUUGCACAUUCAUUAGCAUAAUGUCCAAAUCCUGAACAAGCCUUGCAUUUAAUGUGAUCUAAGUUAGGUGGUUCAGAAUUUGAACGAACAAAUGAAGAAUUUUUUAAAGUGUUCUGAGAAGAUGUUUGAGGAAAUGUUCU